rnacentral:rRNA from 1 species
GAUGAACGCUGGCGGCGUGCCUAAUACAUGCAAGUCGAGCGAACAGACGAGGAGCUUGCUCCUCUGACGUUAGCGGCGGACGGGUGAGUACCACGUGGAUAACCUACCUAUAAGACUGGGAUAACUUCGGGAAACCGGAGCUAAUACCGGAUAAUAUAUUGAACCGCAUGGUUCAAUAGUGAAGGACGGUUUUGCUGUCACUUAUAGAUGGAUCCGCGCCGCAUUAGCUAGUUGGUAAGGUAACGGCUUACCAAGGCGACGAUGCGUAGCCGACCUGAGAGGGUGAUCGGCCACACUGGAACUGAGACACGGUCCAGACUCCUACGGGAGGCAGCAGUAGGGAAUCUUCCGCAAAGGGCGAAAGCCUGACGGAGCAACGCCGCGUGAGUGAUGAAGGUCUUCGGAUCGUAAAACUCUGUUAUUAGGGAAGAACAAAUGUGUAAGUAACUAUGCACGUCUUGACGGUACCUAAUCAGAAAGCCACGGCUAACUACGUG